rnacentral:rRNA from 1 species
UACGUAGGGGGCGAGCGUUGUCCGGAAUCAUUGGGCGUAAAGAGCGUGUAGGUGGACUGGAAGGUCUGGUGUGAAAGCCCGGGGCUACAACCCCGGAGGGUCACUGGAAACCAACAGUCUUGAGUCUGGAAGAGGAGAGUGGAAUUCCGUGGUGUAGCGGUGGAAUGCGCAGAUAUCAGGAGGAACACCAAUGGCGAAGGCAGCUCUCUGGUACAUGACUGACACUGAGACGCGAAAGCGUGGGGAGCGAACAGG